GAUCCCACGAGCGCAACAACAACAACAACAACGGACGAGGUGCCAUGGUGACGGUUGACCGAGCGCUCAAUCACCGGGCGUUGUCAGGAACAUCACUUUGAGCUCGGAGUUCGGAGCACUGAGCCAAGCACCGCGAAUGCCCUGGGUUUGAAUCCAGCCGGAGCCUGUGAUUGAACAGAGUUUCACGUGUUCAGGAACCAUCGGUGCGCGGAGGAGCUCAUCGAAGCCGCCACGAGACAGGGUCAACCCGGAGAGCGUCUGGGUGCUGCCACCUUGCGAGGACCUCGAGACCAGAGGUCGCAAACGGGUUUUGUUUCCUUACCGUACCCGGCCGCACCAGGGUCGCAAAUGGGUACUCGUACUCGGCCGCACCAGGGUCGCAAACGGCUACCCGUACCCGUACCCGGCCGGGUACGGGUAUCGGGUACCCGGUGGCGACCUCUGCUCGAGAUUCCUCUUGAAGGCCCCGUGCGAUGCCUCCACCACCACCACCACCACGGGCAGCCUGCCUACUCCUCCAGCAGCUCACCCACCAACCCCACCACCUUUAACAACAACACCACCGCCCAUACCAACCACAUCACCACCAACAAACUCACAACCACUCUCACAACUCCUGUCAACCCCGCCUACCCCUACCAAUACCACAACCCUUGCCAACUCCACCACCCCUACCAAUACCACCACCCGUAGCAACACCGCUACCACUUCCAUCCCCACCACCCCUACGAUCAUCACCACCCUCACCAACACCAUCACCACAGCCCCCCCCCCCUACUAACAUGACCUCCCCUGCCACCCAGUGGCGGCUGGUGAUAUUUAUUUUUGGGGGGGCGCAUUUUUUUUAUUUUAUUGAGGGGGGCAAAUAAAUAUAAAGCAGUACCAAAAACCAUUUUGACUACUUUAAUAUAAAUUUUGAUGAUCUUUAUUUACAUUUCAGACCAAAAGAAGUACCAAAAAGUAUGUUUCCUACUUGAACAUAAAUGUUUCUCUUUUAUAUACAUUUCAGACCAAAGUACCAAAAAGCAUGUUUCCUACUUGAACAUAAAUGUUUCUCUUUUAUAUACAUUUCAGACCAAAGUACCAAAAAGCAUGUUUCCUACUUGAACAUAAAUGUUUCUCUUUUAUAUACAUUUCAGACCAAAGUACCAAAAAGCAUGUUUCCUACUUGAACAUAAAUGUUUCUCUUUUAUAUACAUUUCAGACCCAAGUACCAAAAAGCAUGUUUCCUACUUGAACAUAAAAACGUUAGUUUCAUGCUAUUAUCAAUAUGGCUGCGGCUACUUUCAUGACGUUUGCAUUUGUCAGAGAGAUGUUUGAGGUCUCUUACCCCCGUCGUUGUCCACAAAACUUCAGUGCCGACACUUUGAAAUAAAAGACAGGGAAAACAAAAAAGAGAAUUGCUAACAUCACAUCCAGCCAGCCACCUCCGUUUCUCAUAACAAGCGCGGGUGAAGCUUCGUGUGUAGCUUCGUCCUCUGUCACUGGCCUGCUGCUGGAUUUGUAAAUCGGGUUGGUCCGGUCCGAGAUCCUUUAUCUUUUUUAUUUCUUCCAGCGAAAGCCUUGUGAAAGGGUUUUUUUGUAAAUAAAUUACAGAAUUUGGAUGAACUGCUGCCAUUGUUUACACAAAAAAUUUGAUCAGCCUAGCAAGUGUCAAAGUGGUGUCGCCUGCGCACUCGCAGUAGUGGCCCAGAGCGUAAAUUUGAAUGACAGGUGACGAGAACCAAUCAGAUUGGAUAAAAUAACAUGUAUCCAAUUCUGAUUGGCCAGGGACGCAACGACUUGCGCCCCGAAGAGAAUCUUUAAGAAACCAAUUAGAGACCAGCUUCAGGUCACAUGCUGUCCGAAAAUUUAAAGUCUCACAUAGACAUCCAUUUGUCCGGCGCCCCGCAUGAAACACAUUGAAAAACAUAGAAAAUAGUUGACCGAUUAAAGCCAGUUUUUAU